CUGUUGUAUGAAAGGAGAGAAGGUUAGCACUCCCCUUGCCAAGGUCCUUGGGCCUGUACGCCACAGAUACAAUAAGACACUGCACCAACUUUGUGGCUUCUCAUCAUGGCUGGGUUUUGUUUUUUUU
rnacentral:ncRNA from 1 species